UUAUAUGAACAAUUAUUAUCAAAACAUAAGGCAUGAGUUUAUUUGGUGAUAAUAUGCUUUAUUUACAUUAUCACUAAUCAUGAAAUGAGAUUUCGCGGGAGACAGGAUUUAGAAGCAUUUUCCGCCUUACUAGGUACAACAAAUGGACCAUAAGUUUCGAGACACUAUUCAUCUAAGCCCCAUCAUUAAUCAACAUACUUCAUCAUUUCUAACCUACGAUUAUCCCAUAACAUAUCUAAUCACAAGAAUUUUGUGUCCCACUAUAUAAUAUUCUUAUGCCAAAGCCCAACUCAGAGGAAAAAGGUUGUAAUAGCUCGAGAAUUUUUUCGUUGAAAUUUUGUGCAUAAAUGUGUUGGUUUCUAUCUUCUAGAGUGAAUUAUAAAUUUUUCAUGCGUAAUAUCUUAGAUUAUGACCCACCAUUGCGUAUAUUAUCGAAUAAUAUUUCCAACAAUAUGUGGAUCAUCCAAAACAGACACCCAAGCGACGAGUUAUGAACAUCCCGAUCGAACCGUGAAUAAUAGUGAACAAUAAAACAUGCAGGAAAAAGUACUGAGGCCUGGCUUAUUUUUGCUCCAACUUUAAACGAUCAUAACUCCUUGUACAUAAUGAUCUGGGUGAUCUACUAUGUAUCAACGGAAAGCUCUGUCAGUUCUUUUUCCAAUAAAAAUAGUUUCAUCCAAUUUGUCUAUCAGAGCAAAAAGUUAUGAUCGAUCUACUUCAGCCUAUCAAAAGAAAAUUUUUGGGUCAACUUCAAAUAAUCAUAACUCCUCGUACACAAUGAUCUGGGUGAGAUACUGUAUAUAAAUGGAAAGAUAUGAGAGUCCUCUUUCUAAUGAAUUUAGUUUCAUCCAAUUUGGAUAUCGGAGAAAAUGUUAUGGUUGAUCUACUUCAGACUAUCAAAAUAGUCCACCAAAGGACAGAUUCGAGAAUUAUUUAAUUUUUAGGGGCGUUUUGGUCAUCCCCCCUCACUGAAAAUCCAUCCAAACCCUAUAUUAAAGCAUAUUAGAAGAAUUAUAUGUUAUAUUUCAUCAAAUUCCCUCAAAAAGAAAACCCUAAGCUCCUACAUCCAACUUCA
rnacentral:lncRNA from 1 species